rnacentral:rRNA from 1 species
UACGAAGGGGGCUAGCGUUGUUCGGAAUUACUGGGCGUAAAGCGCACGUAGGCGGACUAUUAAGUCAGGGGUGAAAUCCCGGGGCUCAACCCCGGAACUGCCUUUAAAACUGCAUCGCUAGAAUUGUGGAGAGGUGAGUGGAAUUCCGAGUGUAGAGGUGAAAUUCGUAGAUAUUCGGAAGAACACCAGUGGCGAAGGCGACUCACUGGACACAUAUUGACGCUGAGGUGCGAAAGCGUGGGGAGCAAACAGG